rnacentral:misc_RNA from 1 species
GAUGAAGAACGUAGCGAAAUGCGAUAAGUAGUGUGAAUUGCAGAAUUCAGUGAAUCAUCGUAUCUUUGAACGCACAUUGCGCCCCUUGGUAUCCCGAGGGGCAUGCCUGUUCGAGCGUCAUUUCACCACUCAAGCCUGGCUUGGUGUUGGGCGACGUCCCCUUUGGGGACGCGCCUCGAAACGCUCGGCGGCGUGGCACCGGCUUUAAGCGUAGCAGAAUCUUUCGCUUUGGAAGUCGGGGCCCCGUCUGCCGGAAGACCUACUCGCAAGGUUGACCUCGGAUCAGGCAGGGAUACCCGCUGAACUUAAGCAUAUCAAUAAGCGGAGGA